AUAAAAACUGUCACACUACGGGU
rnacentral:siRNA from 1 species